rnacentral:snoRNA from 1 species
CAUUAAGGGAAAUUUUUGAGCAUACUCUUAAAUCUCUCCCAAGCUUGGUAGAGAUUCUCCUCUUCUUUCUGUAUGAAACUCAGAAUCUCACUUCUCAAAUG